GAUGGAUGGACCCGCGGUGCAUCAGCUAGUUGGUGAGGUAACGGCUCACCAAGGCCACGAUGCAUAGCCGACCUGAGAGGGUGAUCGGCCACACUGGGACUGAGACACGGCCCAGACUCCUACGGGAGGCAGCAGUAGGGAAUCUUCGGCAAUGGACGAAAGUCUGACCGAGCAACGCCGCGUGAGUGAAGAAGGUUUUCGGAUCGUAAAACUCUGUUGUUAGAGAAGAACAAGGACGUUAGUAACUGAACGUCCCCUGACGGUAUCUAACCAGAAAGCCACGGCUAACUACGUGCCAGCAGCCGCGGUAAUACGUAGGUGGCAAGCGUUGUCCGGAUUUAUUGGGCGUAAAGCGAGCGCAGGCGGUUUCUUAAGUCUGAUGUGAAAGCCCCCGGCUCAACCGGGGAGGGUCAUUGGAAACUGGGAGACUUGAGUGCAGAAGAGGAGAGUGGAAUUCCAUGUGUAGCGGUGAAAUGCGUAGAUAUAUGGAGGAACACCAGUGGCGAAGGCGGCUCUCUGGUCUGUAACUGACGCUGAGGCUCGAAAGCGUGGG
rnacentral:rRNA from 1 species